GAGUUUGAUCUUGGCUCAGAACGAACGCUGGCGGCAUGCCUAACACAUGCAAGUCGAACGGGAUCCUGGUUUCGGCCAGGUGAGAGUGGCGGACGGGUGAGUAACGCGUGGGAACCUGCCCAGUGGUGGGGGAUAACUGCGGGAAACUGCAGCUAAUACCGCAUGAGCCCGAAAGGGGAAGAUUCAUCGCCAUUGGAGGGGCCCGCGUUCGAUUAGGUAGUUGGUGGGGUAAUGGCCUACCAAGCCUGCGAUCGAUAGCUGGUCCGAGAGGAUGAUCAGCCACACUGGGACUGAGAUACGGCCCAGACUCCUACGGGAGGCAGCAGUGGGGAAUAUUGGACAAUGGGGGCAACCCUGAUCCAGCAAUGCCGCGUGAGUGAUGAAGGCCUUC
rnacentral:rRNA from 1 species